UAGGGAGACCUACCCGCUGAUUACACCGAACUACUUAUAUAGAGGUGAAUCAGUUGGUCAACCUAGGUCGAGCGAGUAUUUGAGUACGAAGCUUUCAAACUAUUGUCUAGGUUUAUUUCUUUUUCUUUUUUCUUUCCUUUCUUUUUCAUUUCAUGGUGCUUAUUCAGCACCUUAUCUAGAGAGAGUCUAGAGAGACUGCUGAGUUAACGCUCAGUAAGAACCUUGAAAAUUGCAUAGUAAGAGCGGAAAGGUAGGUUUAUCUAAUUUUUGGAGUGAGUCAUUUUCAUGACUUAUUCUGAGGAGUAGGUAAAGCAAUCCAAGAGAGCCGAGAUUUUAGUUGAUUAAGA
rnacentral:rRNA from 1 species